rnacentral:rRNA from 1 species
UACGUAGGGUGCGAGCGUUGUCCGGAUUUAUUGGGCGUAAAGAGCUUGUAGGCGGCUCGUCACGUCGGGUGUGAAAACUCGCGGCUCAACCGCGAGCCUGCACCCCGAUCGGGCGGGCUGGAGUUCGGCAGGGGAGACUGGAAUUCCUGGGUGUAGCGGGUGGAAUGCGCAGAUAUCAGGAGGAACACCGGUGGCGAAGGCGGGGUCUCUGGGCCGAUACUGACGCUGAGAAGCGAAAGCGUGGGGAGCGAACAGG